GAUGAACGCUGGCGGCGUGCCUAAUACAUGCAAGUCGAGCGAAUGGAUUAAGAGCUUGCUCUUAUGAAGUUAGCGGCGGACGGGUGAGUAACACGUGGGUAACCCGCCCAUAAGACUGGGAUAACUCCGGGAAACCGGGGCUAAUACCGGAUAACAUUUUGAACCGCAUGGUUCGAAAUUGAAAGGCGGCUUCGGCUGUCACUUAUGGAUGGACCCGCGUCGCAUUAGCUAGUUGGUGAGGUAACGGCUCACCAAGGCAACGAUGCGUAGCCGACCUGAGAGGCAGAACGGCCACACUGGGAAUGAGAAACGGCCCAGACUCCGACGGGAGGUAGCAGUAGGGAAUCUUCCGCAAUGGACGAAAGUCUGACGGAGCAACGCCGCGUGAGUGAUGAAGGCUUUCGGGUCGUAAAACUCUGUUGUUAGGGAAGAACAAGUGCUAGUUGAAUAAGCUGGCACCUUGACGGUACCUAACCAGAAAGCCACGGCUAACUACGUGCCAGCCGCCGCUGUAA
rnacentral:rRNA from 1 species